CCUUUUUAAUAUCAACGGAUUAAAAACUGGAAGGAAUUCUUAGAGAUUCCCAUCCUCUCGGCCACUCACUUCAUUUGACAAAGAAAUAGAAGCUCAGAAAGAGAAAGUGACAUAGCUGACAAGGAGUGUGUCAUAUUUCUCCUGCCUUCUCUAUGUUGUAUAUGGACUUGUCAGAAUGACCUUUUCUCCAUCAAUGGAGGAACUGAGAUCAAAGUAGUUAAAGAAUUCCCUAAGAUCAUACAGAACUUGGAUUCAACGACAGUGUUCUGAUUCCAAAUUCCUUCCCUUCCCUUCCAUUUCAUUCCUUUCCUUUUUUUAUUUUUAGACACUUGACAAUGGACAGUAAGCAAAGGAUAAUUUCAGGGUGGGGAAACUAUUUUUUAAAAAUUAAUACCUACUCAAGCAUCUUUGUAGGCAUAAGAUAAGGAUCCAGUAGAAAGGGAGGGAUAGAACAUUCAUGAAAAGAAGGAAGCAAUUAUUUUUUAAACACCUACUGUGUGCUACCAUAAGUACUUUUCAAAUAAUUUAUUUGAUCUCUGGGAAGUAGGUGCUUUUAUUAUCUCAGCCUAACAGUUAAGGGAACUGAAAUAGAGGCCAAAUGAUUUCUCCCAGACCACAUAGUUGGAAAAUGUCUGAGGCCAGAUUUGAAUUUAGAUCUUCCUGAAUCCAGGUCCAACACUUAUUCAUGGAACACCCAGCUGUCUCUGAAAGAGUUAUGUAAGUCCAUGCUUAUGCCUGAGGAGAAUACAUUUCUUUGAAAAGCUGUCAGCUUGGUUUUUAAAAUCAAUGAUUUUUUUCUAUUUCCACCUCUUC
rnacentral:lncRNA from 1 species